GGGCAGGUGGCGGAGCGGUUAAUCGCACCAGACUGUAAAUCUGGCGUGCUUUGCACUACGGAGGUUCGAAUCCUCCCCUGCCCA
rnacentral:tRNA from 1 species